rnacentral:lncRNA from 1 species
GUCUUUGGAUAAGAUUAUAAUACUUAUUAUUAACAUCUGUAAAGAGUCCCAUAGAGAGCAGGACUUGCUGUUCUGCCCAGCAACGGAAAUACUGCUCACUGUUACAUGUUUUACCGAUGCAAGAGAAAGGAGAAAUAGGAGAUGAUGACGAAACUCUUCGGAGUGAUUGCUUUGCAAGCCCGAACUUAAAACCAAAGUGCAGUUACAGUUUAUACAUUACAUCUAAACCUAUUUAAUAUGUGAGUAUCUUUAAAGCAGAAUUCCAGAUACAGAUUUAAAAAUAAUUUGGAAGUUUAGUUAUCUAAGAAUAAUUUUCUUUUUACAUGUGUUCAUUUAACUGUAGCAAAGUUGAAUAGUUGUUUUCAUUUUAAUUUGGCUACGUACUUUAUUCUUAUCACAUAUGCCUGCUUAAACCAGAGCUAAAUGUUUUCAAAAAUCAAGGGCAUAUAUACAUUAAUUUUCUUUGUGUAUAAAAAUAAAUUGAACUUGUCCAUGCA